rnacentral:tRNA from 1 species
GUCCCCUUCGUCCAGCGGUCAGGACACCGCCCUUUCACGGCGGGAACAGGGGUUCGAAUCCCCUAGGGGACGCCA